rnacentral:lncRNA from 1 species
CUUCCUCGCAGGUGGGUGACCUGCCUGAGGAAGGGGGUUCUCAGAGCAGCGCUGGACCACGGAUGCAGCGCUCUGUGGAAUAGCCACUGCUCAGGAGAAAGCCGCAGGAGACCAGGAUGCCCCGCCCAGGAGUGACAUUGAUGGAUGAGGGUUUGCUGCUCCUGCAGACGCGAGCCUCGCAGAACCCUGCCUGCUUGAGAGGCAGGGGGCCAAGACAAUCCGCUUUUUGUUGGGUGUGGGGCGGGUGUUCCCAUCCAGACAACGGGCUGAGUGGACCUGGCGCACGCAGCUCGUGGAGAUCAGCAGAAGAGAAUGUACUGAAAGUCCUAUAGACAGUACAAGAACGUGAAGUUCAGAGAGGUUCCAUGACUUACUCAAGUUCACCUGGCUAGUAAGUAAUGGGGCAAACGAGCACAGGGAGGUCAGCCCCAAAGUCCGUUCUCUCCACCAUGGGGUGAAGCUGCCUUUUUACAACAAAGGAUCCAAAGUGAUCUUAUUGGACUGUGAAGCCGCAAGGCAGGGAUGCUCUACAGUUCUGAAGUUCAUUGCUUUGCAGUUGAGGAGUGGAGGCUCAAAGAAGGGACUUGCCAAAGAGCCAUCCUGCUAUUUUGCAGCAGUUAGAAAUUUGUGGGAAAUUAAACGCACAUCUAACUCCAAAUCCCUUUGCCGUGUUGCAACAAUUAAUUCGGAUCCACAGUCCAUUUAGCAUGCAGUAGUGGCAGAGUCUACAGAUAAAUGAACUGGGCAUGGUACUUGGGAAACCAAGACAUUGUUUUUGAUUCCAGUGUUGUCAGGCUUUUCCUCCUUUGGCCAUGGUGGGUACAGUGAACAGUGUUGCACAUUGAAGUCAAGUGGGAGAAUCCUAGACCUCAGGAUGUGAUCAGGAACAGUCAUUUGUCUUCCAUGGAUUGAUCAUAUUGUUACAUGAGUUGACUUGGUGUUACAGAGUGGCAUUCUCACUCCUUUUAUUUUUCUUCCAACACACACAUGACACACUUGUGGGAGAGCUCAGAGAUAUGCAUAAUUUCCCAUGUUCUAAUUUUAACUUGACCUUCUUCUACUCAAGACAGCAAGGAAAGGAGUGAGAAGGAUAUUAGAA